rnacentral:lncRNA from 1 species
AAAAAAUAUAAAUUGAACACUCUGAAUAACUUUUAUUUUGUGUUGUGUUGAUUAAAUAAUUACAAGACAGACUGUCAUCGUGAAAGAAGUUGGAAUUUUGUAAAUGAAGUGUACAUACGAAAUAUGAUCAACUGGAUGAUUCAUAGCCUGCAUCAAGGAAAAAAAAGGGUGACGCAAUAACCUGAAGGAUUCAUACUCUGCAAUAGCAUAAUAGGAGGGUCUGGCAAUACACCGGGGGACAUUCGUAGACUGUAGCAUUGAUAGAGGAUAGGACGAUAAAAAAUUAAGUGAACAAGUUGAGUUUAUUAACUAUAAUUGCAUUAAAUUUUAUAAGUAAUGAAUUACAUUUUCUAAUUUGUUGGAAGAAAUUUCUUCCAACAAGGAACAUUAAAUGAAGUGAACUUUCUGAGUUUAACAAAUU